CAUCUCUUUUAGAUUAAAAUUUUAAGUUGACUCUGCCCAAUGAAUAAAUUUAAUGGCUGCAGUAAUUUGACUGUACAAAGGUAGCAUAAUAAAUUGUUUUUUAAUUGAAAACUUGAAUGAAAGAGGUGAUGAAAUAUAAACUUUUUUUAAAUAAAAUUUUGAAUUUAAUUUUUAAAUAAAAAAGUUUAAAUAAUUUUAAGGGACGAGAAGACCCUAUAGAAUUUUACAAUAUUAAUUUAUUAUAAAUAGAUUUAGUUAAAUAUUGUUUAUUUGGGAGGAAUUUUAAAAUUUUAAACUUUAAUAUUAAUAAACAUAUAUAAAUGGAUAAAGUGAUUUUAAUUAAUUUAAAUUUAAGAUUAAAUUACCUUAGGGAUAACAGCGUAAUAUUUUUUGAUAGUUCAUAUUAAAAAAAGUGUUU
rnacentral:rRNA from 1 species